rnacentral:tRNA from 1 species
CAGGGAGACAAUAAAUUGAUUGUGAUGUCUAAGUUAUUUAUUCUUAGGCCGCAAUCCUGUCACCUUAAGGUCGAUCGGUACCUCAGGUUUUUGAAUUAAUUUUAUAAUUGAUUCUUUGAUUUCAGUUCCUAAACUUGUCUAGGUCACACCCAACAAAGGUUUCUCCUGGGCCAUUAGCUCAGGUGGUUAGAGCGCACCCCUGAUAAGGGUGAGGUCCCUGGUUCAAGUCCAGGAUGGCCCAUUCGUUGUUGGGGGUAUAGCUCAGUUGGUAGAGCGCCUGCUUUGCAAGCAGGAUGUCAGCGGUUCGAGUCCGCUUACCUCCACUGAAAACUAUCCUGAUAACUAAAUUCUGGAGAAAAAAAUUGUAGAUGUGGCUUAGAAUUGUCUAUUUGAAGAGAACCUAGCUUCUUAUCAUCUUUUUACAGUUGAUAAAAUGCUGGGCUCGCAUGGAUUAAUUCCAUGAGAAUUCAGUAGAACCUUGAAAACUGCAUAGAUUAGAAAGAAUAAAGCAUCUCAUGGAUGCAUAAUUCUGUUUUUAUAAUUUAGCCUUAAAACUAAGUUAUUUAAUUCUAGAAUUCAUGUUUAAUUCUUGAGUAAAAGCCGAGCACAAUUAAUUUUGUGAUUGUAUUUAA